AAACUCAAAUGAAUUGACGGGGACCCGCACAAGCGGUGGAUGAUGUGGUUUAAUUCGAUGCAACGCGAAAAACCUUACCUACCCUUGACAUGUCAAGAAUCUUGCAGAGAUGUGAGAGUGCUCGAAAGAGAACUUGAACACAGGUGCUGCAUGGCCGUCGUCAGCUCGUGUCGUGAGAUGUUGGGUUAAGUCCCGCAACGAGCGCAACCCUUGUCAUUAGUUGCUACGAAAGGGCACUCUAAUGAGACUGCCGGUGACAAACCGGAGGAAGGUGGGGAUGACGUCAGGUCCUCAUGGCCCUUAUGGGUAGGGCUACACACGUCAUACAAUGGCCGGGACAGAGGGCAGCCAACCCGCGAGGGGGAGCCAAUCCCAGAAACCCGGUCGUAGUCCGGAUCGCAGUCUGCAACUCGACUGCGUGAAGUCGGAAUCGCUAGUAAUCGCGGAUCAGCUUGCCGCGGUGAAUACGUUCCCGGGUCUUGUACACACCGCCCGUCACACCAUGGGAGCGGGUUCUGCCAGAAGUAGUUAGCCUAACCGCAAGGAGGGCGAUUACCACGGCAGGGUUCGUGACUGGGGUGAAGUCGUAACAAGGUAGCCGUAUCGGAAGGUGCGGCUGGAUCACCUCCUUUAUG
rnacentral:rRNA from 1 species